rnacentral:rRNA from 1 species
CCUACGGGAGGCUGCAGUGAGGAAUAUUGGUCAAUGGACGCAAGUCUGAACCAGCCAUGCCGCGUGCAGGAAGACGGCUCUAUGAGUUGUAAACUGCUUUUGUACGAGGGUAAACGCAGAUACGCGUAUCUGUCUGAAAGUAUCGUACGAAUAAGGAUCGGCUAACUCCGUGCCAGCAGCCGCGGUAAUACGGAGGAUUCAAGCGUUAUCCGGAUUUAUUGGGUUUAAAGGGUGCGUAGGCGGUCGGAUAAGUUAGAGGUGAAAUCCCGAGGCUCAACUUCGGAAUUGCCUCUGAUACUGUUCGGCUAGAGAGUAGUUGCGGUAGGCGGAAUGUAUGGUGUAGCGGUGAAAUGCUUAGAGAUCAUACAGAACACCGAUUGCGAAGGCAGCUUACCAAGCUACUUCUGACGUUGAGGCACGAAAGCGUGGGGAGCGAACAGGAUUAGAUACCCCAGUAGUC